CUUAAUCCCUCUGGGUAGUGGUGUUUACGCCACUGCCUGGGCCUUUGGCGUGGGGGAAAUGUCCGCGGUGCUUCGGCACCAGGAGUUUCCCACCCGCUUAAAUGCGGAGAAAGCUAGCCGGCGAUGCCCCAAUGCAACGACUUGUAUGUCCAGCGUCGUAAUGCUUCUGGAGCUCCCGGCCUCUGAACAAUAGGGACCCUCAGGUCCCAGAU
rnacentral:misc_RNA from 1 species